rnacentral:lncRNA from 1 species
UGGUCUGCAGUAGAAGAUAUAAUUAUUUUGCGAAGCAACUGAAUGAUAAUGGAUUUAAAGUGUAUGCAAUGGAUUGGAUUGGUAAGUUAUCAACUGAGCAUCAUCUUCAGAAAGAUCAUUUGCUUUCUGUUUGACAAAAGCAAGUGGAAGGCAUAAAUGUUUGCAUGCUGGCUUUACUGCUAGCCAAGAAAAAAUAAAUCUAUUAGUUAAAAGUUGAAUAUAAAUUUGCAUUGUUGCUUCUUCAUCAUGAAAAGAAAUCUCAUGUUUUCAUCCCCUUCAGUAAACUUUUCCUUUUAAUAAGCAAAAUAGCACUACAUUGCAGUUUCAUAAAGAUCGCAGAAUUUACCAUCU